rnacentral:rRNA from 1 species
AGAGUUUGAUCCUGGCUCAGGGUGAACGCUAGGGGUAUGCUUAACACAUGCGAGUUGAACGAAAAAAGGUAAUUCUUUUUUAGUGGCGUACGGGUGAGUAAUACAUAGGAACUUACCUUUUUGUUCAGUUUAAAAUUCUGAAUAUUAAAGAAAUAAUUUCGCAGAGAGAUAGGCCUAUGGAAGAUUAGGUAGUUGGUAGGGUAAUAGCUUACCAAGCCUUUGAUCUUUAGCUGUACUGAGAGGUUGGUCAGCCACACUGGGACUGAGACAAGGCCCAGGCUUCAUUGGAAGCCAGCAGUGAGGAAUUUUGGACAAUGAGCGAAAGCUUGAUCCAGCAAUACUACAUGAGUGAUGACAGCUUUCAAGUUGUAAAACUCUUUAGUUGAGGAGGAUAAUGACAGUACUCAACUGAAUAGCCCCGGCUAACUUCGUGCCAGCAGCCGCGGUAAGACGAAGGGGGCGAGCGUUACCCGGAAUGACUGGGCGUAAAGGGUCCGUAGGCAGCUUUUUUCGUUAAGGGUAAAACUAAAAAGCUCAACUUUUUAGUGCCUUUAAUACUUAAAUGCUUAGAGUUUGAAAGAAGAUAGCAGAAUUUCACAUGGAGGGGUGAUAUCCGUAGAUAUGUGAAGGAAUACCAGAGGCGAAGGCGGCUAUCUAGGUCAAUACUGACGCUGAGGGACGAAAGCAUGGGGAGCAAACAGGAUUAGAUACCCUGGUAGUCC